UCGAAUGUUCCAAAGCCUUAUGUAAAUUACCCACAAUACCCUCCAUAGCUGCUGAAACGUCCACGGGAGGUUGCACGUUGUAGCUCGAUUUACCAUCAAGAGGAUUUCUUUUUUUAAUAUUGUCCUCUAAAACAAGCUUAGAUCCUUCUCCCAAAGAUUCUUUCUCGGUAGCUCCAAAUUUAAACAUAUUAUUCUCCUUCCCAGCCCCAGUACCAUGCGAUUCAAUCUCAAUAUCCCGAAAUGUCGCGUGCUUUAAUUUAUCCAAAUUGGACCCAGAAUAUCCUCAUUACCCACUCUGCCCAACAAAACACCCAUACCAAACCCAUUAGUAUUCUUUUUUUAGACAAACCCACCUCCACCAUUAUUGGGUAUCAAAACCCUUCUAAUAGACUUAAGCCCAAAAUUUCCAAUCAACCGUUUACCCUUAACCCUAACGUCCCUUCUCCUAACCCCAGCAUCCCCAUUAGCCGCCUCCACAAUUUUCCUUUCUAAAAAAGACGUUCCUUUCCUUACUUCUAUCACCGUUUCAUUCUUAAAUGAAAAAAUCAUCAGAUUCUCCUCCAUCACACCAGUUCCAAUCGAUUCACUCACCCUGUGAUUGUUGAUUCUUGUCUCCUCCCAUUCAGCCUCCAACACGGAAAACUUAGAGCCCCCGAAACGGUUGUUACCACCGACAGUUCUUCCUUCCGAUGGAUCACGUGAUUUCCUCCUUUACUGUCGCUCAAUCAUCAUCUAAGGGCCAAACGCCUCUUCCUCCACUCGAGAUUGGAGACCUGCAUCCUCUGCCGCAGGCGAUUUGUUUUCAGUGCAUAACAACGAGGGGUUUUUUCAGAUCCACACUAACAGCCAGUCUCGCGAAUCUCCCUUUAACUGCCGCAUCAGUCCGAGCAUCGAUCCUGUAAACCGAUCCGAUCAUACUUCCGAUGGCCCUUAGCAAAAAACCAGAGUAAUAUCAUUCAGACAACCCCAAUAAUCAGAUCCAAACUACCUAAGUAUCCAUCUCACUGUUGGCUGUCGAAAACUGGCUGACCAGGUUCUCACCGACAAGUAAUGAUCAAACACCACCCAUACCACCCUAUCAAAGUCAUCUUUCUCCUGGAACCGGACAAGGUAAAAGUCAUUUUACAGUUCCAUUAACUGAAAUCAGCCCCUACUAUUCCAUAGAACAGACACCUUGUUUAAUAAAGUGUUGAAAGCUAUUUCCUACCCAGUAAUUUGAUCACAAUUGAUAGAGCCAUUUUCUUUUCAAUUGACUUAUGGACAUGGUCCGAAAAUGUGAUAGGAAGGAAUUCCAUUCACAAUUUCCGUCAUCACAUCUUCAUCCUGUAACUUGAAAUCUUCUUCCAUACCAACACUCCCAUUUGGAUCCGAUGAAUCUGCCAUCAACUUAAUGUUGUAUGAAUCCUUUGCCACGAUCUCCUCUUGCACCGUCUGCCCGUUUCCAUCCAUUGUCGGGUCAGACACCUCCGUAGUUAACUCCGGCCGUCAUCUAAUUUUCUUCGUAACCCUUCCGACACCACAAUUCGAAGCCGUGGAAUUCGCUCCAAUAGCAAAAUCAACUCGAGAGAGCAUUUCAAACAUGUUUUCUCUAAUUGUAAUACAAGUCAACUGUUAAUAAAAAUUCAAGUUUUGUUAACUUUCAAAA